rnacentral:rRNA from 1 species
AUGCUUAGUUUAUUGAUUGCAUGCAUUGGCAAAUGGAAUAACUGCCCCAAAGAUUUGUGCGGGACGUACCAAUGUCACGCCAAAGAGGCCACAAUCAUACUCAAAGCAGUGGCAUCAAACGACUUAUGGACUUCACAUGCUUUCUUUAUCCCUAGUUUUCACAACGACAUCAAUGUGCUCCAGCGAUCUCCCGUGUUCGGGAGACUUUGCAGUAGGGAAGCACCGCCGUGCAACUACACAGUCAAUGGACAUGCCUACAACAUGGGGUACUACCUUGCAGAUGGUAUCUAUCCUCAAUGGACGACGUUUGUGAAGAUCAUAUCAGAUCCCCAUGGCAUCAAACAAAUACAGUUUGCUACAAUGCAAGAAACAAGUAGGAAGAAUAUGGAGAGGGCAUUCAAGUGCUCCAAGCUUAUUGGGGAAUUUUUGAUGGAGCUACAAUGA